rnacentral:sRNA from 1 species
UUCUUCUUCUCAACCACGGAUCUGUGCCCGGCGGUCCCUUGCUUCUACGGAAGUCCAAGGUUGAUUGCUGUGCAGCUCGAUAACUCCACGGAGCCAUCAACUUGUUAUGGUGUCAAUGUCUUAUCGACAGGUCCAAGAAAGACUGGUAUAGCUGCGCAGUUCGGUCGUCGAAAGACUACCUGAGCCGUGUGGUUGCCAAAGGCUUUAUAUUCCACCCCUCUUUUCCGAGACCGUCGGUCGGUGAGGUUGAGGUAAACCAUAUACGCCUACAUUC